rfam:Brachypodium distachyon strain Bd21 chromosome 3, whole genome shotgun sequence.
CAUAUACUCUCUCCGUCCAACAAAAGAUGUCUCUAUUUGUCAAAAUGUGGAUGUAUCUAGACAUGAUCUAUACACUAAGUCAUGUCUAGAUACAUCCAAAUUUUGACAAACUUGAGACAUCUUUUGUUGGACGGAGGGAGUAGUUG